rnacentral:piRNA from 1 species
UGGCAACAAUGGGCGCCUCAGUGGACACGU